rnacentral:rRNA from 1 species
AAUAUUGGACAAUGGGCGCAAGCCUGAUCUAGCCAUGCCGCGUGCGUGAUGAAGGCCNNNGUGUUNUCAAGCUCUUUUGUCCGNGACNAUCAUGACGGUACUGGGAGAAUAAGCACCGGCUAACUUCGUACCAGCAGCCGCGGUAAUACGAAGGGGGCUAGCGUUGGUCGGAAUCACUGGGCGUAAAGGGCGCGUAGUGGGACGUUUAAGUCAGGGGUGAAAUCCCGGGGCUCAACCUCGGAAUUGCCUUUGAUACUGGAUGUAUCGAGACCGGAAGAGGUAAGUGGAACUGCGAGUGUAGAGGUGAAAUGCGUAGAUAUUCGCAAGAACACCAGUGGCGAAGGCGGCUUACUGGUCCGGUUCUGACGCUGAGGCGCGAAAGCGGGGGGAGCAAACAGG